rnacentral:rRNA from 1 species
AUGGACAGUGCAAACCUAGCCCUUACAUCAUCAUCUGGCCAACUGUUGUGGGAAAGCUUCGACUACCCAACGGAUUUUCUGCUCCCUGGUGCCAAAUUUGGCUGGAACAAGGUCACCCGUUUAAAUCGUCGGGUAAUCUCGAAAAAGUGUACCGUUGAUCCUGGGCUUAGCUCGUAUAGUAUCGAGCUAGAAACCAAUGGCAACGGGAUAGUUCUUAAGCACCGCAAAUCCUCGCUAGGGUAUCAGGUUGUUUAUGCGCCCGAAACAUCAACGAUAUUGAAACUUUUGCCAAGAAUCCAGAAGUUUCUACAAUUGGAUCUGCGGGCAAAAGGUUCGAUUGUCCCACUCUAUGUUAAUACCAGAGAAGAGGAGUACUACAUGUACACUUCAUCAAAUGAAUCAUCUUACUCAUUUGUCUCGCUAGACAUUUCUAGUCAGACCCAGCUUAAUAUCUGUGCGCAGCCACCCUGUGACUGCAUGGAGAGCUUCUCUAAGAAGUCGCUAUGGCAUUGGGAUUUUGGUGAUCAAACACAAGGGUGCAUCAGAAAUACACCACUGUAUUGCUCCAGUCACAAGAACACGACAAGUUCAACAGACACGUUUCACCCCAUUGCUCGGGUUACAUUGCCCUACAACUCACAAAGCGUAAACCUUGCUACCACUCAUAGUAUAUGUGAGGAAGCUUGUCUCAACUGUGCUCCUGCACUGCUUAUUCCUAUGGCAAUACCAAUUGCUCUGUCUGACAUGGAAAAUUGCUUGGUGUAA